UGGUUGCCUCGAAGGAUGGUGAUUCUCUCUCUCUCUCUCUCUCUCUCUCUCUCUAUUGUACGUGCAUGUAUGUGUACACUGUGCCGGACCUUUGAUCUUUUGAUUUGAUAGUGUUCUUCGUAAUAGAGAAUCGACAAAUUUGGGAAAUCCCAUCAUACAAAUCUGUAAAUACGACGGGUCAACAUGCAAAUCUGAAAUUAUUUAGGUCAUAAUUAGGUGAAUUUUCAUGUUGGCUCCCUCCCGAUUUACCCAUAUCAUGACAUGGCCUUCAAAGGUUUGUUAAUUUCACUUUUGAGGCUCCCGGUCGUACUGAUAUGAUGGUGAAGGUUCCGCGCCACUGGCGGUGGCGACCGGUGAGUGAAAAGAACUAGGUAGAUCUGACUUCUGAGUUAACUCGUAGGGUGAGCAUGCGUACGUUAGCAAAACGUGCGCAGUUUUGGGUUUCGGGUUGUCUCUGUUGGGAAUUGGGAUUGGUUUGACCGUGGUUCAUGUCAAGGGUUGAGUUGUUCUCACAUGGAAUUAGGUGAGUUAGUUGAAGGGUAUUUCGGACAUUUUACCAGUUACAACUCUAUGUGGCAGUUUUUGCUAUUCCCAAGAAAUCUUCUUUGUCCGAUUGCGUUUUGAGUAUUUUUGCAAUUUUGGUAAUCUCGUAUAAGAGAGAAUCUGAGGAUAAAUAUCUGUUGACCACCUAAUAUUUUAUAUUUUAUUAAAUAUAGACUAGAAUUAUUUUUUUGUAGUUUUUUAUUUGAAAUUUACAAAGUGUGUUAUUUAUCUCCUUUUCUGUUAAUACCAUUGGAGGAUUUAACAAAAGUAUUAGUAAAUUAAAAAGUUUAUCCAUGAAUGUAAAAAAGCUAUUUUUAUUAGUUGUUAUUUUUGAUACUUUUGAAAUGUGCUGUUAUUUUGGACGGAUGAGAACAAACAGUAAACUCUUAAGUUUUUCAUAACUGGCUGUUAUUUUUAAUUAAUGGGAACAAAAUAUGUUGUUGACUGUUUCUCAUUACUGGUUUUUUAAUUAUUUUAAUAGAAUGCUUAUUUUAGUGAUUUUAUAUCUUUAAAUUACCAAGUGUGAUGAGUUUAUAUAGCUAAUUUUGUAGCCGUUAUUGGUCCCAACAGCUACAGUAUAUAUAUAUAUAUAUAUAUAUAUAUAUUUAAUUACAUUCAGGGGCAAAAUAGCUAUUUUAUGAAUAUUCUAUUGAGUUAUCGGGUAAGUGAUAUAUUUUGUAAACUUAACUUAAGGUGGAUAAUUGCAAAAGAAAAAAAGUUUUAGUGUAUUUUUGAUAAAGGUCGAACCAUAUGGUGGUCGGUAGACCCUAAAAAUAAUUAGUUGUAUAAUUAGGUGAUGGCUCAUUAUUAGUAAAUGUUAUUCUUGCUAUUAUUUCUAGUUCAAAAUUAAUCUAAAUUUAGCUGAAGCGUGAUAAUAACUACAAAUAAUUUGUGAGCUGUUGCAUUGAUUACAAAUAAUUUGUGAGCUGUUGCAUUGGUUAAGUCACUGCCGGCCCAAGGUUCCGAGGGCGAGUGCCUUCUCAUUUCUCAAUUUACAACAAUGAUUUAGCUUUUGGCUGCAUUGUAACUUAAAAGCAUUGAUCACGAAACUUGGUUUUAAUUUGGUUGUGUAACAUUUUUUGCAGUUUGGCUGCCCUGUGCUGCUGCUGCUUGCUGGAUGCUUGCUUCUGAUAAACAAUGAGUAGCAGCUUGAUUGAAGUUUGGUACUAAGGCGAAUUAAAUAUAAUUCAAUUCUUUAGUGUCAAAUCACCUGUUUGUGACUUGUUUUUAGUUUCUCAUGUGUAUUUUUUUUUUUUUCUAUCUUUCAAAUACCCUUACUGCCGUUUAUUUUCGUUAAUAAGAUUUGAGACUUUUGUUUGGAAGAUUCGAUUUCUAUUAUCAUAUGAUGAAAGGGCAGCUGACAUUAUGUAAAUAACCAUUGGAGAUUCAUAUGAAAGAAAGCUGUAACAGCUGUAUUAUCUCUAGAUUGUUCUUUUUUAAUUUUCAUUCUUUAGUUAAUGGGUAUCAUUUUUGUCAACUUUUUGUACGCAUAUUUUAAUUAAUUGAUUAAUUAUUAAGGGGCGGGGGGCCAUAUUAUGGACUGCCUGGCUGGAGAAAGGAACAUAUGCUUUUUAGGUUAUGGAAGAAGACAGAAGAAUGUCUUUGUUGGACUCCUGAAAUUUGAUUUUAGUUUGGAUAGAAUCAAAUGGCACUUUGCUUUCAUUUCAAGGGACAUUCAGGGAAUGAAAACGAGGAAAGAGAAGAUGAGAUGUGAUACUUGUGCUGUUUUAUUAGCCAAGUCAGUUGAAAUAAUUUUGCAUCAUUAUCAUCAAUUCACCAUCAUCAACUUGGCUCCUCCAAACCACAAAGAGACUCGCUAGUUGGUAAUCUCACCUCCAAAAAUGAAAAAAAAACAAUAAUUUGUUUUGGCUUGUCACACCUUUGCUUGCUUAUUGCCUAUUCAAUUGGAGGAUGACGGCCUAUUCUUGCACUAAUUAAUCAGUUUCCACUACAAAAAAAGAGUGCAACCGAAAAAGUGAUAUUCCCCGUUCCGCUUUGCCUCUUUACUUUUCUUGUAUUGUUUGGCUUUUGGUAAAAUAUCAUUGACCUCCCCUAAUAUUUGAUUGAAUCACAUGAAGCUCCUAAUUUUCACAAUUUAAGAAUACCCUUUAAAAUUUUGAAAUGUUUCAUUAACCUACACUAAAAGCGGACGGCAAAAUGAAAAAGUGAUUUCCGAUCGAGCUUAUAUGUAUUCAAGAAGUAAGAUAAAAUUGGAAUAAUGUCGUGUUAAAAAUAAACAUCCACGUCAUAUAUUAUGAUCAACCUCAUCUUUAAAAUCUUGCAAUAACAAGAAAAAAUAAAUUGCACAAAACCUCUAUACAUUUCCCGUUCGACCAACAAACAAUGGGUCAUUUCUUGAGGAAGAUAUGUGACGAAGUAAGUUGGAAGAGUGAAGUUGAUGGUGAUACAUUAUUUGGGUUUUAGAAUAGAUUAGAAAUAUGCCUAUUAGAGCUUGAAUAUGUUGCAUGCAUGAUUGAUGAAUACACUCUUUUGAGUUAUCGGGUAAGUGAUAUAUUUUGUAAACUUAACUUAAGGUGGAUAAUUGCAAAAGAAAAAAAGUUUUAGUGUAUUUUUGAUAAAGGUCGAACCAUAUGGUGGUCGGUAGACCCUAAAAAUAAUUAGUUGUAUAAUUAGGUGAUGGCUCAUUAUUAGUAAAUGUUAUUCUUGCUAUUAUUUCUAGUUCAAAAUUAAUCUAAAUUUAGCUGAAGCGUGAUAAUAACUACAAAUAAUUUGUGAGCUGUUGCAUUGAUUACAAAUAAUUUGUGAGCUGUUGCAUUGGUUAAGUCACUGCCGGCCCAAGGUUCCGAGGGCGAGUGCCUUCUCAUUUCUCAAUUUACAACAAUGAUUUAGCUUUUGGCUGCAUUGUAACUUAAAAGCAUUGAUCACGAAACUUGGUUUUAAUUUGGUUGUGUAACAUUUUUUGCAGUUUGGCUGCCCUGUGCUGCUGCUGCUUGCUGGAUGCUUGCUUCUGAUAAACAAUGAGUAGCAGCUUGAUUGAAGUUUGGUACUAAGGCGAAUUAAAUAUAAUUCAAUUCUUUAGUGUCAAAUCACCUGUUUGUGACUUGUUUUUAGUUUCUCAUGUGUAUUUUUUUUUUUUUCUAUCUUUCAAAUACCCUUACUGCCGUUUCUUGUUUUUAGUUUCUCAUGUGUAUUUUUUUUUUUUUCUAUCUUUCAAAUACCCUUACUGCCGUUUAUUUUCGUUAAUAAGAUUUGAGACUUUUGUUUGGAAGAUUCGAUUUCUAUUAUCAUAUGAUGAAAGGGCAGCUGACAUUAUGUAAAUAACCAUUGGAGAUUCAUAUGAAAGAAAGCUGUAACAGCUGUAUUAUCUCUAGAUUGUUCUUUUUUAAUUUUCAUUCUUUAGUUAAUGGGUAUCAUUUUUGUCAACUUUUUGUACGCAUAUUUUAAUUAAUUGAUUAAUUAUUAAGGGGCGGGGGGCCAUAUUAUGGACUGCCUGGCUGGAGAAAGGAACAUAUGCUUUUUAGGUUAUGGAAGAAGACAGAAGAAUGUCUUUGUUGGACUCCUGAAAUUUGAUUUUAGUUUGGAUAGAAUCAAAUGGCACUUUGCUUUCAUUUCAAGGGACAUUCAGGGAAUGAAAACGAGGAAAGAGAAGAUGAGAUGUGAUACUUGUGCUGUUUUAUUAGCCAAGUCAGUUGAAAUAAUUUUGCAUCAUUAUCAUCAAUUCACCAUCAUCAACUUGGCUCCUCCAAACCACAAAGAGACUCGCUAGUUGGUAAUCUCACCUCCAAAAAUGAAAAAAAAACAAUAAUUUGUUUUGGCUUGUCACACCUUUGCUUGCUUAUUGCCUAUUCAAUUGGAGGAUGACGGCCUAUUCUUGCACUAAUUAAUCAGUUUCCACUACAAAAAAAGAGUGCAACCGAAAAAGUGAUAUUCCCCGUUCCGCUUUGCCUCUUUACUUUUCUUGUAUUGUUUGGCUUUUGGUAAAAUAUCAUUGACCUCCCCUAAUAUUUGAUUGAAUCACAUGAAGCUCCUAAUUUUCACAAUUUAAGAAUACCCUUUAAAAUUUUGAAAUGUUUCAUUAACCUACACUAAAAGCGGACGGCAAAAUGAAAAAGUGAUUUCCGAUCGAGCUUAUAUGUAUUCAAGAAGUAAGAUAAAAUUGGAAUAAUGUCGUGUUAAAAAUAAACAUCCACGUCAUAUAUUAUGAUCAACCUCAUCUUUAAAAUCUUGCAAUAACAAGAAAAAAUAAAUUGCACAAAACCUCUAUACAUUUCCCGUUCGACCAACAAACAAUGGGUCAUUUCUUGAGGAAGAUAUGUGACGAAGUAAGUUGGAAGAGUGAAGUUGAUGGUGAUACAUUAUUUGGGUUUUAGAAUAGAUUAGAAAUAUGCCUAUUAGAGCUUGAAUAUGUUGCAUGCAUGAUUGAUGAAUACACUCUUUUUAAAGUAUCUGUUUUGCACUAAUUUUACACCAUACGUUAGUAUGGUUUUAAUUGGUUUGUUCACCCAUUUACUAUGGAUACUUGUGAUUAUGCGGUGUUAUAUAUGAUUCAUAAGUGGUGUAUUUUUAAAGAAAAAUGAAAUCUCAAGAACCCAGGAUUUCAAGCGGGGUUUAGAAAGUAAAAAAAAUGGUGCUAGAUGGAUUGACGGGAAAUGUAGCUCCCUUGUAACCCAGCCCAAAGGCCUCUCUCCACCUCAGCCAACCCGCAGGAUCUGUUUUAAUGUGAAUCAGAUUAAAGAUAUGGGUGUUCAGAAUCCAAUCCAAUCCGCUCAAUUCAUUUGAUCAGUAAAAAUUUGAUCUAUGGAUUGAUGGGUUAAAAAUUUAAAAAUCCACAAUCGGUCGAUUGAAUAUGGAUUUACUUCUGUAAAUCCGUAAAAAAAAUAUAUUUAAUUAAAAAAAUAGAACUUAUAAAUGUAGUAUUACUACUUAUUAAUAAAUCAAUUAAUUAAAAUAUAGUUAAAGUAACAUCAUGUUAUAUAUUAUUCGAUAAUAAUACAAAAUGAAAAAAUUAAAUAUUUGAAUAACUAAAUAAGUAAAUAUAGGUUCCUAAACAUUAAAAAUUCUAAAACAUAACAAAACUCUAAGCCAAACAAAACAUUUUAGCACAUAACGCCAAACCUCUACCCCACUGCAUGCACAAGUACUUAUAAUUUUUUUACUUUCUUUUCAAGCUCUUCAAGUUUCAUAACUUUUUUCUGUUACAUCGAAGAUCUCAAGUUUCAACUUUUGUUUAUAUUUAAAUUCAUAAUUUUAGUUAAUUUUCUUGUAUUGAUUUACAAAAAUGAGAUUUUAUUUUCAGCGUGUUAUAUUUUGAAACUUUGAAUGUAUUAUUAUAGCUUAAUUUAGACAAUUUAUUUCUUUAAAUUUUAUUCAAUUUUGAAUUUAAUCGGUAGUAAAAUUAUUUAUAUUGGAUUUUUUAAUUUAAUUACUUCGUAGAUUGAACAAAAUUAAAAAUUAAAAAUUCGCAAAUCAAUCUGCAAAAUAGUGAAUUGGAUAUGCACUAUGUCAAAUUCGUAUCAAAUCUGUAGACAUAUAGAUUAGAUUUGGAUUGAGUUUCAUCAAUAUGUGAAUUGAAUUGGAUUGGAAAUUUAUAAUCUGCAAAAUCAUGGAUUGAAUAUAGAUUAAUGUCCAAUUUAUAAAAUUGAUCCGCGAGUACUCCUAAUUAAAGCCUCCACAAUUAAGCUGGUAAACCGGUAAUGAGAACUAACAGUGACAAAUUUAAUCUGGAAAUUAACUUUUCUAUUUGAUAUUUUUGGUAAUUUUAUCAGCAUAAUUAAAAAUAUAAAAAACUCAUGAUUCUUGAGACUAAAACUUGCAGGGCUCUUAGGCUAUGGUGCGUGAUUUCUUUCAUCUCCUCGACUCCUCCUAAUUUAUGGUAAUUUUUUUCCUACUAAUUUGUAGGUAAAAUUAAUAUUUUUUUAUUAAUUUAUGUAGUGUUUAUUUUUUGGAGUGCGAGUGUAGAUUCUUCCCACUCCCGUGUUUACUUAUAAUUUUUAAUGGGGGUGAGAAUCCAACUUUAUGGACUCCACCUAAUUUUAGAGUGGGGAGUAGGAUUCCCACUCCCAUGGGGGGAGGUGGGAGUGGAAAUCCACUCCACCCUCUUCAUUUUUUACCCGUAUAUUUAAACUGCUGNNNNNNNNNNNNNNNNNNNNNNNNNNNNNNNNNNNNNNNNNNNNNNNNNNNNNNNNNNNNNNNNNNNNNNNNNNNNNNNNNNNNNNNNNNNNNNNNNNNNNNNNNNNNNNNNNNNNNNNNNNNNNNNNNNNNNNNNNNNNNNNNNNNNNNNNNNNNNNNNNNNNNNNNNNNNNNNNNNNNNNNNNNNNNNNNNNNNNNNNNNNNNNNNNNNNNNNNNNNNNNNNNNNNNNNNNNNNNNNNNNNNNNNNNNNNNNNNNNNNNNNNNNNUGGCCGUACAGCAGUAUAAUAAAAUAAAUAUUUUAUUUUUCAAAUAUAUUUUUUUAUUAAUUUUGUAAUUAAAAAUUAUAAUUUUUUAAAUAAGGGUAAAACUAUAAUUUAAAAUCAUUUACUUCUAAUCCAAGACAAUUUCAUACUCCCACUCCAGUGUAAAUAAACAACUUACUUUCUCUUUCAUUCGACACUCAUAAUCUUAAAAUUCUUACUCCAAUUUAAAAUGUAAACUCUACCUUAGAUAAGCCUUAAACUUGUUAGUAGGAGUCUGAUUCCAAAAAGAACAGUAAAAUUAAAACUUCGUUGCCACAGGAUCUUUAUUUUCAAUCGAAAUUCGUUUUUAUAUUUGGGAUGACUAUUUUGCAAUUCGAAGAUCAAUUUUAUAUAUAUAUAUAUAUAAAGAUUAAGAUGAAGAACAAUGCUAUUUUUCGAUAAAUUAAUGAAAAUUUUGUAAGUCGGUCAGAAACCUAAGCCCCUGAAUCGUGAACACACAGACACCUAGGAUUUCGUUUGUAACAAUCAACGAUGCACCCGCUUCCGUCGUCCGAGACUGACUGAGUCCGUGCCCUAAUUGCCACCUUCUUAAAAUACCGACACGUGUACAACCACCAGUCCCUCUCACCCUCCGUAACCUUAAUUAUCAUUUAACGCCGUGCCCUUGCCUCUCGCCUUUCCAGCGUAACCAAUUUCACAAACAGGUGUCAGAAAUUCCAAGGGGCGAAACACACGUGAUCCGUUUCUCAACUGAAAUUUGAACUCAAAUUAAACAACAAACCCUAAAAUACAAAUAAUUCAAAUAAAUUUUAAAUUGACUGUAAGCCUCGAUUUUUAUCUUUUUUCUUUUUUUUUCCCGCGCAGCUUUAGAGUUUCCCGGUAAGCUCCUGUCUUCUUCGUGAAUUUUUUAAUUAAAUUUUGUAUCUAAUUGCAUAUUUGUCAAAUUUGUUGUCAGCUUAGGGUUUUGUGUUUAAUCUUUUGUGUAAUUCGCUGUUGUUGGAUCAGAUUCUUAGCUCUGGUUUAUUAUUUAAUUACCUUGUUUUAAUUUAAUUUCUUCUAAAUCACUUGCUGUUUUAAGUGCAUUAUGAAUUUAGUAGAAUUUGAUUUAAAAAUGGUGAUCUUUUAGCUGAAAUCUGGCGUUUUAGUCGAAGAUAAUGAUAAAAAUAAUGUAUUAUUGGAUGAUAAUUGGAAAAAAAAUAAAUUAGUUGUUGAGCGAGUUCAAUCAUGUGCUGAUAAUAUUGUGCUUUACAUACGUUUGCAGUUCAGAUCCUUUCAGUAGUUUCUUUUAGCUAUUCUUUAUGGGUGCCCCAAAACAGAAGUGGACACAAGAAGAAGAAGCCGCUUUGAAAGCUGGGGUUAUCAAACACGGCGCUGGCAAGUGGCGCACAAUACUUAAAGAUCCGGAAUUCAGUGGCGUCUUGUAUCUGCGUUCUAAUGUUGAUCUCAAGGUUAGUUGUUUUUCUACAAUUCUUGUGUGUCUAUAAUGCUAGGACAUGCAUUUUGGUGAACUAGAUAAUAGUGUUAAUGGUGAUUGAUUUCUUUGGUUUUGAUAUGGGUUAGGACAAGUGGAGAAAUAUGAGUGUGAUGUCAAAUGGAUGGGGGUCGCGAGACAAAUCUAGGUUAGCUGUCAAAAGAAUACCGCAUAUUGCAAAAUCGGAAGAGAACUCUUUGGCUCUGAGUUCUACCGUUGUUCAAAGUGAUGAGGAAGAAAUUGUGGAUGCUAAACCACUCGCAGUUAGUGGUGCUACGCCACAGAUUGCGGCUGCUCCAAAGAGAUCUAUUGUAAGGUUGGAUAUAGUUGUUGUUUCACUACCACGAUUGUGAGGUUGUUGGUGAAAAAAAAAUUUUCAGCUCUGUCACUUAAAAACAUAUCAAAGUAAUUUAAUGAUGUGUUUCUACUUUGAAAUACGUUAUAUGGUCCAAAAUCCAAUGCCUUUUGUGGUUAUAAUUUGUAUGAAAUGGAAGUAUAGAACAAUAGCAAGAUUGUCUUUCCUUUUUGUGAAUUGUAAAACAUAAGUUCUUUGUUUUCAUUUUUAUAGGUUGGAUAACCUUAUAAUGGAGGCUAUAACUACGUUGAAGGAGCCUGGUGGUUCUAAUAAAACAACUAUCGCUGCAUACAUAGAGGUACUUCUCUAUUUGAGGGAAAGUUGCGUUUUGGAAUUCUAGAUCAUGACAUUGCAAAUUGACAUGUUCGUUAUUGGUCCUGGAGCUUUUCAUGUGUUUUAUUGAGAUUAUAAUUUUUGGAAAAGAUAAUAUGUAUCAGCAUUUUCAUUAAUUUAUUGCGUACUUAACUGACCUUUGCUGAAUAUUUAUUCUGCAGGAGAAAUACUGGGCACCUCCUGACUUCAAGAGGC
rnacentral:lncRNA from 1 species